rnacentral:rRNA from 1 species
UACGUAGGGGGCAAGCGUUGUCCGGAUUUAUUGGGCGUAAAGAGCGUGUAGGCGGUCAGGUAGGUCGGUUGUGAAAACUGGAGGCUCAACCUUCAGAGGUCGACCGAAACCCCCUGUCUAGAGUCCGGGAGAGGAGAGUGGAAUUCCUGGUGUAGCGGUGAAAUGCGCAGAUAUCAGGAAGAACACCCGUGGCGAAAGCGGCUCUCUGGAACGGUACUGACGCUGAGACGCGAAAGCGUGGGGAGCGAACAGG